UCCCAAGCCUUCUGGCGAUCUAGACAAAACAAGUCCACCGUGGGCUUUGAAAAACGCUUUCCUUGAUAAAAUUUAAGCGNUUUAUAAGAGGAUGCCGGGGAAG
rnacentral:misc_RNA from 1 species